CAUAGCGACUAUCGUGGCAUAUCAAUAAGCGGAGGAAAAGAAACUAACUAGGAUUCCCUCAGUAACGGCGAGUGAAGCGGGAAGAGCUCAAAUUUGAAAUCUUCAAGGUUUUACCUUGACUAAUUGUAGUCUAAAGAAGUGUUUUCUGUUGAAGUUUUGGUAAAAGUUCUUUGGAAUAGGACAUCAUAGAGGGUGAGAAUCCCGUAUUUGACCAUUUCUUUCAGCUUUGUGAUACACUUUCAAAGAGUCGGAUUGUUUGGGAAUGCAGUCCAAAAUGGGUGGUAAAUUUCAUCUAAAGCUAAAUAUUGGCGAGAGACCGAUAGCGAACAAGUACCGUGAGGGAAAGAUGAAAAGAACUUUGAAAAGAGAGUUAAACAGUACGUGAAAUUGUCAAAAGGGAAGCGUUUGACAUCCAGUGUUGUUUUCUCGAAAAUCAAUUUAAAAUGGCUGGAUGCUAAGUUGCUAAGACUUUAUCAGCUUGUUUCUUAGUUUUCUUGUCUUUUUAAAUGCACUUUUCGUUUAACAAGUCAACAUCAAUUUCUUUUGUUGUAAAAGGGUAUGAGGAAGGUGGCUUUGACUUUCGGAUAAAGUGUUUAUAGCCUUUUAUCUCUGCAGUCGGAGAGAUUGAGGUCUGCAGCGUAGACUCCUUCGGGGUUAGAUACAUUGGUGCUAAGCUAUAGCCUUGUAUAGACAACUUGUUGACUAUGCUCAGUCAUGUAGCUUACUCGCUUAUGCUAUUGUACCUACGCUUAGGAUGUUGAUAUGCAUGACUGAUAU
rnacentral:rRNA from 1 species